AGCGAACGCUGGCGGCAGGCCUAACACAUGCAAGUCGAACGAACUCUUCGGAGUUAGUGGCGGACGGGUGAGUAACACGUGGGAACGUGCCUUUAGGUUCGGAAUAACUCAGGGAAACUUGUGCUAAUACCGAAUGUGCCCUUCGGGGGAAAGAUUUAUCGCCUUUAGAGCGGCCCGCGUCUGAUUAGCUAGUUGGUGAGGUAAAGGCUCACCAAGGCGACGAUCAGUAGCUGGUCUGAGAGGAUGAUCAGCCACAUUGGGACUGAGACACGGCCCAAACUCUUCGGGAGGGCGGAGUGGGGAAUCUUGCGCAAUGGGCGAAAGCCUGACGCAGCCAUGCCGCGUGAAUGAUGAAGGUCUUAGGAUUGUAAAAUUCUUUCACCGGGGACGAUAAUGACGGUACCCGGAGAAGAAGCCCCGGCUAACUUCGUG
rnacentral:rRNA from 1 species